rnacentral:rRNA from 1 species
GAUGAACGCUGACAGAAUGCUUAACACAUGCCAGUCGACUUGGUGGCGGACGGGUGAGUAACACGUAAAGAACUUGCCUCACAGCUAGGGACAACAUUUAGAAAUGACUGCUAAUACCUGAUACUGUGAGUGGGCUUUGCAUCCCAUCAGCUAGUUGGAGAGGUAACAGCUCACCAAGGCGAUGAUGGGUAGCCGGCCUGAGAGGGUGAACGGCCAAAAGGGGACUGAGACACGGCCCUUACUCCUACGGGAGGCAGCAGUGCGGAAUAUUGGACAAUGGACCGAAGUAUGAGCCAGCAAUUCUGUGUGCACGAUGAAGUUUUUCGGAAUGUAAAGUGCUUUCAGUUGGGAAGCGGUACCAACAGAAGAAGUGACGGCUAACUACGUGCCAGCAGCCGCGGUAAUAC